AUUGAACGCUGGCGGCAGGCCUAACACAUGCAAGUCGAGCGGAUGAAGGGAGCUUGCUCCUGGAUUCAGCGGCGGACGGGUGAGUAAUGCCUAUGAAUCUGCCUGGUAGUGGGGGAGAACGUCCGGAAACGGGCGCUAAUACCGCAUACGUCCUGAGGGAGAAAGUGGGGGAUCUUCGGACCUCACGCUAUCAGAUGAGCCUAGGUCGGAUUAGCUAGUUGGUGGGGUAAAGGCCUACCAAGGCGGCGAUCCGUAACUGGUCUGAGAGGAUGAUCAGUCACACUGGAACUGAGACACGGUCCAGACUCCUACGGGAGGCAGCAGUGGGGAAUAUUGGACAAUGGGCGAAAGUCUGAUCCAGCCAUGCCGCGUGUGUGAAGAAGGUCUUCGGAUUGUAAAGCACUUUAAGUUGGGAGGAAGGGCAGUAAGUUAAUACCUUGCUGUUUUGACGUUACCAACAGAAUAAGCACCGGCUAACUUCGUG
rnacentral:rRNA from 1 species